GUUAAAAAUCUUCAACAUCUCUUACAGAAAGUAGACAAUCCUGAAGUUGUAUUCCAAGUUUUUCUAAAAAUUUAUAGCCUGAAUAACAUUACGAACUUCAACCUCAUGAUAAUAACGGGACUGUGAAAUAUACAAGUGUUUAUCUUGCACGGAUUCAAGACAAGGUGAAAGAAAUCAACCCACCUUUCAAUAUGUAGUCCGUUAAUAAUGUGGGCACCGUUGGACUAUCCUCAUUAAUAGCCUUCAAUACUGAAAACAAAACAUAUUAUUAAUUUCGAAUGAUGUUAUUAAGUAAUUGUUGGUACUGUUACCAAGAACUUCUAAAACUUACUCUUAAUGAGGACUUGUAAUGCUUGAUUAUUAGGUGGGCCAGUGUCCAUGUGAUAAGGUAUCACUGUUGUCAAAUACUGUAAAUUUUCAAUAUAUUUUUGUCUGGUUAGAAACGUAUCUCAUAGGUCUAACAAGAUUGACAAAGUACUAAUCAGACUUUGCUCGUAAAUCUAAGAUGCCUACCUUGGAAUCUUGUAUGGAUCUAUGCUGCGGCAAAGGGCU
rnacentral:lncRNA from 1 species